rnacentral:RNase_P_RNA from 1 species
UAAUUCCUAGAGGAAAGUCCAUGCUCACACAAUUCUGAGAUGAUUGUAGUGUUCGUGCUUAAGGAAAAAAUAACUUAAGGUAGUGGUAAAACACUAACGGCUUAGUUUUUACCUAAGGAGUUUCUAUGGUAAAUACUUGUAAAGUGCCACAGUGACGAAUGACUGGGAAACUGGUCAGUGAAACGCGGUAAACCCCACGAGUGAGAAACCCAAAUUAUGGUAGGGGAGCUUUAAAAGGAGAAAUGAAUUCUUUUAAGGACUAGUAAUAGUAGAUAGAUACUUGUCACCUAGAAAUAGGUACAGAACAUGGCUUAU